rnacentral:rRNA from 1 species
UACAAGCAACAGCUUGAAACUCAAAGGACUUGACGGUGCUUUACAUCCCCCUAGAGGAGCCUGUUCCAUAAUCGAUAAACCCCGAUCCACCCUACCCUCUCUUGCUCAGCCUAUAUACCGCCAUCUUCAGCAAACCCUAAUGAAGGCCACAAAGUGAGCGCAAACGCCGCCACCGCGAAUACGUUAGGUCAAGGUGUAGCCCAUGAGACGGUAAAAAAUGGGCUACAUUUUCUAUUUCAGAAAACCCACGAAAACCCUUAUGAAACUUAAGGGUCCAAGGAGGAUUUAGCAGUAAAUUAAGAAUAGAGUGCUUAAUUGAACCAGGCCAUAAAGCGCGCACACACCGCCCGUCACUCCUCUCAAAUAUAUUUAAGGAAUAUCCUAACUAAACGCCCUAAUAUUUAUAUAGAGAGGAUAAGUCGUAACAUGGUAAGCGUACUGGAAGGUGCGCUUGGAUAAAU